AAGGAAUAUUUUAAUGUAUUUGUAUAAUUAAAGAUAAUUACUCCCCUACCGUGGUGUUGGAUAUAUAUGUAUCUUUAUCUUCUAAAAGAAGUGAAUUUAGAACGUUAAAAAUCCCAGCAUUUUUAUUUUUCGUAAAGGGGGCUGCCGACCUUUGUUUUCCAGCAACUUUAAGAGAUAAAGAGAGGGAUCUAAGAGCUUGAUUCAUGCAAUACUCUUAUAGGGAAAAAUGGGAAAUAACGCAGAGUUGCAAACCUUCCUUUGCUUCUCGUCAAGCUUUCAAGGGAUUACACCAAAGUGAUUCAAGAAGGAUUUUCGAGUAUUCUUCUCUGAGAUUACCAUUCCUUGUUCGCUAUUAACCAGCGGGGUUCUGUGCAAUUAAGAAGUAACUGAGGUUCUGAUGUACAAGAUGACAGAUUUACUCGCUAGAUAAUUGCAGACAUUCAAUGGAGGUGUUGCAAGCUCCAUUUCUAUCUGAAGCUAAAUCUGAUAUCUCGGAAUUAUGUGAUAGUCAUAUGAGAUGUACAGGCUGGUUCGCUUUGUCAAGUUAAGGCACCGUGCACCGGUCCGUCUCACCCAAAUUUGAGGUGCGCCAGAAAGAGGCACAGAAAGAAAUGGCGACAAAGAUAGAGAGAGAGAGAGAGAGGAUACUCAGAUGUGAAGGAAGAAAUUAAGGGAACUGUUGAUUCCUUGCACUAUCCACUCCCUAGUGGCAGCUAAAAGGCCUUUUGUAGCAAUCAAUUUAAGACCACUAACUCCAAUACUUUGUUAUUCUUUCGACAA